AAUGAGUUUUAUGCUACUGGGACUGCCAAAUAGCAUAGUGGCAGGAGAGCAUGUGGAUGGCAGGAGGGCGUGUGGAUGGAGGAGAAAUCUGUGGGUGUUGGGAAGGCAUGGUGAUGGGGACAAGAAGGCAGGGCACACCAGAUUAAUCUACCUGGGCACUUACCUGCUUUCUGUGAUGGGCAUGCCCCAAACAGGAAUCAGCGGAGCCAGUACUUCAAUUGAAUUAAACCUACUUUUCUCAGUAAAGUGAAAAAUAAGAUCGAUUUUGGGAGCACAGUGCCCGUGAGAUUUUUAAAAAGUACAAAUUGUCCUAAGUCAGCACAGGUAUCCUUGUAAUGGGGACAGAGGGACAGCAGCAUUUCUCCAUCUGUCCAUGAGCAGGAGUCACCUGGGAUCCAUGAAAUGAAAUGCAGGUUCUGGUGUCACGGGUCUCGGGUAGGGCCUGAAGUACCGCAUUUCUUUUUUGUUUGUUUUGUUUUUCAAGACAGGGUUUCUCUGUAUAACAGUCCUGGCUGUCCUGGAACAACUUCUGCAUUUCUAACAAGCUUGGCCAACAUUACACACCCCUGGAGUGGCAAGGCUCCGUGACAUUCCUAGCACAUGAGAAAGCCCAACUGCCCAGGUCAGCCAAGUGCAAAGGUGAUGCCCCACCCAAUCUGCCAAAUGGAAAUCUUCUAGAUCAUUCUAUAGUUCCCAGGGGACCUCCUUGCCUAGUCUUGCCACCAACACUAACAGUAGAAAACUCCUUUUUGUUUGUCAUGCAUCUCUUCCCAUGUUAGGUCAGGGAAAGGGAUAUGAUCAACCAGGGAACCCUGGGGAGGAGUGCGGUCGGGAAUCUCAGAGGAAGCAAAAGCAACUGGAGCAGGCAAAACAGACCUUGGGAGUGUCUCACCCGGGCCUUGAAAGCAGGAAGUGCAGGAAGGAUAGAGAGGUCCUCUCUCCAAUGCAGCUUCAAGUAUCCUGGGACAAGAGAAGCACGGAAGAGAUCGGAUGCCCAGGCCCAGUACCAGCUACAGAAGGGGCUAAUGCAACCUCCAGGCCAAGGUGA
rnacentral:lncRNA from 1 species